rnacentral:SRP_RNA from 1 species
GGCGGUCGGCCUCAUAGUCGGACGUCCUGCGAACCUGGUCAGGGCUUGACGGCAGCAGCCAUAAGUGGUGUCGCUCGAGCUUUGGGUCCCCGGCCGUCCUU